CCUACGGGUGGCUGCAGUGGGGGAUAUUGCACAAUGGGGGAAACCCUGCUGCAGCGACGCCGCGUGUGGGAAGACGGUCCUCUGGAUUGUAAACCACUGUCCCCAAGGACGAAGAUGACGGUACCUGGGGAGGAAGCUCCGGCUAACUACGUGCAAGCAGCCGCGGUAAUACGUAGGGAGCGAGCGUUGUCCGGAAUUACUGGGGGUAAAGGGAGCGUAGGCGGGGAUGCAAGUUGGGUGUCAAAACUACCGGCUCAACUGGUAGUCGCACUCAAAACUGCAGCUCUUGAGUGAAGUAAAGGCAGGCGGAAUUCCUAGUGUAGCGGUGAAAUGCGUAGAUAUUAGGAGGAACACCAGUGGCGAAGGCGGCCUGCUGGGCUUUUACUGACGCUGAGGCUCGAAAGUGUGGGGAGCAAACAGGAUUAGAUACCCCUGUAGUC
rnacentral:rRNA from 1 species